rnacentral:misc_RNA from 1 species
UUUUCUUUUGUUUUUUUUUUUUAUCCUAAUUUUUUUCUUUUUUAUCGAGCAUUCCAAUUACGUUCAGAGAUGUUUCGGUAGGUGUAGAAAUGGUUUUUAGAGAUUUGUUUUGUUGAACUUCUUUAAAUUUGUUGAUGGUUUGUUAAAUUUUGCUGGAAUUCAUUUGUUGAUGGUUGAUGGUUUUGGCUGGGUUUGUUCGUCUGACUGGGUAGUGAGUG